GUGUCAGCAGCCGCGGUAAUACGGAGGAUGCAAGCGUUAUCCGGAAUCAUUGGGCGUAAAGAGUCCGUAGGUGGCACUUCAAGUCUGCUUUCAAAGACCGAAGCUCAACUUCGGAAAGGGAGUGGAAACUGAAGAGCUAGAGUAUAGUAGGGGUAGAGGGAAUUCCUAGUGUAGCGGUGAAAUGCGUAGAGAUUAGGAAGAACACCAGUGGCGAAGGCGCUCUACUGGGCAUAUACUGACACUGAGGGACGAAAGCUAGGGGAGCGAAAGGGAUUAGAUACCCCUGUAGUCCUAGCGGUAAACGAUGGAUACUAGGCGUAGUGCUGUUAGAAGGACUGUGCCGAAGCUAACGCGUUAAGUAUCCCGCCUGGGGAGUACGCACGCAAGUGUGAAACUCAAAGGAAUUGACGGGG
rnacentral:rRNA from 1 species